CUUGCUCUGGCAGGAUAUACUAAAAGGGGAACCUCACAGAGAUUAGCAGGGGCCCUGCACAAACAUGACAUACAAAUUUGUAAUUACUUCAUAGAUAAA
rnacentral:snRNA from 1 species